AAGACUCUACUGACUGGGGUCAUUUCUAUAGUUUGUUACUAAGUAAAGUUUGUUACUAGACAUCACCUUAAACCAUCAAAAGGAAACAGAGCAUCCUCUCCUGAGCGCGAAACCUGUUCUAGAUGAUGCUUUUGAAACUGCCUUUUACCAUUGAUGAUCGUUCUUCUUUUCCUUUGGAAGAGGGAGAGGGAGAGGGAGAGAGUGCAGUCUGAGUGAU